AGCUUGCUUCUAUGACGUUAGCGGCGGACGGGUGAGUAACACGUGGGCAACCUGCCUGUAAGACUGGGAUAACUUCGGGAAACCGAAGCUAAUACCGGAUAGGAUCUUCUCCUUCAUGGGAGAUGAUUGAAAGAUGGUUUCGGCUAUCACUUACAGAUGGGCCCGCGGUGCAUUAGCUAGUUGGUGAGGUAACGGCUCACCAAGGCAACGAUGCAUAGCCGACCUGAGAGGGUGAUCGGCCACACUGGGACUGAGACACGGCCCAGACUCCUACGGGAGGCAGCAGUAGGGAAUCUUCCGCAAUGGACGAAAGUCUGACGGAGCAACGCCGCGUGAGUGAUGAAGGCUUUCGGGUCGUAAAACUCUGUUGUUAGGGAAGAACAAGUACGAGAGUAACUGCUUGUACCUUGACGGUACCUAACCAGAAAGCCACGGCUAACUACGUGCCAGCAGCCGCGGUAAUACGUAGGUGGCAAGCGUUAUCCGGAAUUAUUGGGCGUAAAGCGCGCGCAGGCGGUUUCUUAAGUCUGAUGUGAAAGCCCACGGCUCAACCGUGGAGGGUCAUUGGAAACUGGGGAACUUGAGUGCAGAAGAGAAAAGCGGAAUUCCACGUGUAGCGG
rnacentral:rRNA from 1 species